rnacentral:rRNA from 1 species
CAGAUCUCCAGUCUAGAGGAAGUAAAAGUCGUAACAAGGUUUCCGUUGGUGAACCAGCGGAAGGAUCAUUACAGAGAUAUGCCCUCGCGGGUAGACCUCCCACCCUGUAUAAUUUACUCUUGUUGCUUUGGCAGGCCGCCUUAGGGCCCCCGGCUCUCGCUGGGGCGCGCCUGCCAGAGGACCCCAACUUAUGUGUUUAGUGUCGUCUGAGUACUAUAAAAUAAGUUAAAACUUUCAACAACGGAUCUCUUGGUUCUGGCAUCGAUGAAGAACGCAGCGAAAUGCGAUAAGUAAUGUGAAUUGCAGAAUUCAGUGAAUCAUCGAAUCUUUGAACGCACAUUGCGCCCCUUGGUAUUCCGGGGGGCAUGCCUGUUCGAGCGUCAUUUCAACCCUCAAGCCUAGCUUGGUCUUGGGCCCUGCCGGAAACGGCUGGCCUUAAAAUCAGUGGCGGUGCUAUCAGGCUCUACGCGUAGUAACUAAACCCUCGCGUGUGAGUCCCGGUAGACGCUGCCAGCCAACCCCCAAUUUCUAUGGUUGACCUCGGAUCAGGUAGGGAUACCCGCUGAACUUAAGCAUAUCAAUAAGCGGAGGAAAAGAAACCAACC